AUCUUCAGGCUCACAUCAGAACAGAUCUCAUGUUUGCAGAAAACACAUGGAGUUCACUUCACUGAAUGGCAGGAACUGAGUCAAGAGAAAGAGCUCAAGCUGGAAGUCUGUAAGUGAACAUAGGGUCUCAUCAGAAGAAGGUGGAGAUUGACUCUUGCCCUAGACCGCCCUUUUCACAAAAGCUAGAAAUCCAUGCCUUAGACUGACAAGAGCCUGGAAUCCAAAUCUUUCCUUUUAGGAGACUAAGAAGCUCUGGCUGCAGGCUAGCACCUUUGUACACCACUGUCAGAGUAAAGUGAAAACCCACUCUGCAUUUGGGACUGAGACCACACAAGCCCCAGGAAUAAACCACAAUCUUGGACUAGAAGGGUCUGGAUGAAGCAAACUGCACCAUUUCUCAUCACAAGAGCACCC